rnacentral:lncRNA from 1 species
AGAACGAAAAGCCCCCCGCUGGGGGUGGGGGAAGGCUCAGAAGCUCCAAGGUUUCAUGUAGGGCUCCCCAGGCCAAGCUUUGAGGGAAGAUGGGGAGCUUAGAUAUAGUUUUGUCCAGCUUUCACGAUACAAAUGACCAACUUGAGUCUGGAGAGACAGAGAGGUGGAGCUUGGCCUGGAUCCAGGAGAUGAGUUCGGCCUAGCGCUCUGCAGUGGGCCCACCACCCCUGAUACCUAGACGUGUGGUCACCUUGGCGGUGGGGAGGAGGGGCUUGGUCCUGGCAACCCCUCUCAUCCAAUAGCAAGAGAGGGGCUGAUUCAAUGGUUUGAGGGGGCAGGAGCAGUGACACAGCCUGGAGACCCAGCUCUGUCACUCAACUCUACAUAGCCUUCACCCAGAGCCUGACAGUGUAUAUGAACAAGAGGCUGUGCCUGGUGAGUGCUUCUGCCACUUUCUCCAGGAUGACAGCUGUGGACUCCUGCCACAUCCAACACCCCCUUGCUGCUCCCCACCGCCCUCCUUGGCACCCAGGUGGCUGAUCUCCUAUGGUCUUGCUGGCUUCUCUACCUUGUAUGCUGAGGGCGGGCCCAGCCUGCCCCAGCUCAGGGUCUGCACAUAGUAGGUGCUUGCAUGUUGCCUGCUAAACUGACAGCCCUGUAACCAUGUCAGCACAAAGCAACCAGCAUUUUGGGUGCAUCUGCAGUUAAAAUAAACCACUGAGGUCAUGGGUCUGUUCUCUCUGCAAAAACAAAAAUACCCCACUAGCCAUAUCUGAUGAGAACCAUAGCAAAAGAUCAGAAUGUAAUGGCUUCAUCCAGAAGCAAAGCAUGAGGUUCCAAACCAUGUCCCUGACCUGAAGGGGCACCUGCCCAGGCCCAGGGGUGCCAACUCCUAGAGGCAGCUGGCAUGUGACUACUGUGCCCAGUAGAGAAAGGCAGACACUCAGUCCCCAGAGCCCAGAGCCCCGAGGGAAUUAUGGAACAUCCUCCAUAUUUGAUUCAAAAUAAAAACCACAGUAAACCAUAGACCCAAAACUUAUACGUCGGCUGAAAUUAAAAUAGCUUCUUGCUACGUUUUCUGGUUUCAAUAUUCUGGAUAAACUCAUGGAAGCUGAAUCAGGCAAUUUGUCUGUCUCUUGCUUUGUUUCUGCUGUUGCCCCUGCUUUGCAGGGAUCUCAGCACACGCUUGGUCUCCCCUCUGAAGCAGACCCCAGCCGGGUCUGGGGGGUGUCCAGUCCUGCACUCCCAGGGCUGAUCCCCCCAGGAAGGUAUCCAUGCCUAUGCACACACCACCCCCAUGGGUUCUUGUGGCCCCUCAGGAAGGGGGCAGGACCAGGGCCCAGCCUUGGCCAAGAGCUGCCCCCAGCAGACCUCUCUCUGCCACUGCUCCCCACAAGGUUUCCAGCACCCCCAGCCCCUCCCUCUUCUGGGGAACCUUGCGGCUGGGCCCGUGCCUGCGGCGAGUCUCACCCCAGUAUUAUUUUAGUCGCAGACAGACACGAGGCAGAUGGUGACAACAUCCCUUCCCCGCUCCCCACUGACGAGCCGUUGCCGCCCUGAAGCCUCAGGGUUCUUCUCCCUCAGGAAUAUUUCAGUCCCGACUCGGUGGCUAAAUGCGGCUGCUCGUGUGAGACAAGCGCACAUCUGCGCCUCCUCCUCCCUACCCCCUACCCAUUUCCUGAGGCUGAGCAGAGCCCUGGGGAGGCCCUGCCCACUUGCAGCUCUGCCCCAUCCUCCCAGCUGCCCUACUGUGUGCCAGGCAUCAUGCCAUGAGCAUGGUACCACUGGGAGAGGGCAGUUACUGUGCCCACUUUACAGAUGAGGAAGCUAAGGCUCAGAGUGAAGCAGGGGCCAUCCCAGAUCACACAGCAGGAGAGAAGGCGUUCCCUUGGGUCCCAGUGCACCCUGGAGACAGACACAGCCUCCCUCUGCUCCUUCCCCACCCCUCAAUCCUCCACCUUACCACCCCUGUGCCUACUCCAGGCAACUUGCCUUUCUAGGAGCUAUUUCAUUGUGCCCACUCUCCUGCAUCAACCUGUAGCCCAGGGCACGGGGCUAGCCAGCUAGCUGGUCCUAGCUCAGUGGGCAUUCGGCUAUAAUUGUGACUACCGAAGUCAGGAUGGACAAAUGCAGGAGGAGGAGACCUCUUGCAUGAGACAGGCCUGGUUUCAAAUCCCAGCUUUGUUAUGACUUUGGGCAAAUCACUUCACCUCCCAGGACCUGUUUCUUCAUCUGUAAAUGCACAGCAGCAGUAUAACCUCUCCUUACCCCUAAUUCAAUGAGUGACUGCUAUAUUCCCAGCACCUAAAGCAGGGCCUGGAACACAGUGGGUGCUCAAUGUGUAUUUGCUAAAUGAAUGACACAGGUAAUAAGAUGAGCAUCAGCCCUGGCUCCAUGGAGCUAGUCCUCCCAGCAGCCCCACCCUCAAAAAGGCCUGGGGCCAGCUCUGCCUUGGUGGCCCACUAGGAGCUGAAGUUGGUCACAAGAGCCAAACAGAGUCUUGUCUCUAGGCCCCUCCCCAAGCCCCACAAUGCAAAGUGCUUGGGGCCUUAGGGGGCGGGCCAUGGGCACGGGGACCCCAUAAUAGGCCUGGGUGCCAGCCAAGUGUGGGAGUUGGGCUGAGGUUGUUUUGGUUCCCUCAUGCCCCCUUCUCCAGCCACCCACCCUGACUGGCCAGGGGUGGUGAAGCUGGACAAGGGCUCUUUGAGGGCUUGGGACACUUUCUGGGCAGGUGAGGACAUGUCUAUUCCCAGUCAGGCCUCCUGGCUGUGGGCUCCCUACCCCAGCACAGUCCGACACCCCACCCCCCACCACACCUCAGCUGGCCUUCUGGGGCUGGGCCAAGAUACACACUGACAAACCAGCACACAAAAACACCACCCACCACAGUGACACUCACACCCUGUAAAGAUAUACAAAGCAUAUACACACAAACAUACACCACCCAACUGAAGGCACAGAAACAAACAGACGCAAUUUAGUGUGCACGGCAAGGUACACAAGCUCACAAUGUCUGUGAUGCAGAGCGCACCAUGUGCACCCAGCGCAGGGUGUAUCCAUAUAGUCACACAGCAUGGCUGCUAACACGUGUGUGGCACAACCCAGCCCAGGUACAUAGCUCAGGAGCACAGAUGUGCACAGCAGGAGGUAUGAGGCCAGUCUUGCACCGAAGCUGAGGUCUGUCUCCCCAUACCAGACCAGCAGCUCAGGGACAGGUUGGGGUAGGGACACAGGGCCAUCGGAAGAGGAAGAGGGCAGGCCGGGCCCAGGGUGGGGGUGUGUCGGGGUCAGCUCUGCAACCCCCACUUUUACAGGACUUGGCCGAGGCAUCAGUGCCUGCAACAAGCAGGUUUUUUUGUGGUAAAAAGGUCAGGACCCUCACCUCUAAUCACAUUGACAUGUCACUACCAAUCUCUCCCCUCAGCAGCCACCUCUGCCCAGGUCACCCUCACACUCACGCAUGGCAUAAGAAACUGGAUGAGGCUACUCACUGUCACCAUAAAAGCCAAUACAAAGGGAAAGAGAGGCUGAGUGUCAGUCAGUGCAGGUGCGGAGACACUUUUCAGCAGGGAGUUCUGGGCAGCAGACCACCCUCUGCCAAUCAUGGUCAGUCAGGAAGGGUAAGUUCAUCUCAGUGGCCACACAUCAACCCAGCCCUGAGAACACAGCCCUGAGGCCAGCCGGCUUGGGAAGGCCUCCUGGUGAAGGACAAAGGCCCUCCUCUCUGGCGCUCCCUGUUCCUGGCACAUCUCAUCCAUUGCUUCCCAUCUCUGGUCACUGCUCUGCGGUGCCCACUGCCCUGGCACUGGCAUUCAAGGGCCCUAGUUAUCUGACCCCAUUCAGAGCUUUUUUCUCCAGGCCUUCACCAAUGCUGUUUCCUCCACCAAUGGUGCAUUCCCAGCCUCCACUUUUGGUGGCCUCUCCAUCCAUCAAAAUCAAUGCCACCCCUCCCCCCACAAGAAACCUCCCCAGUCACUGCCAGGAAAAAAAUUCUCACUUCAGUCCUGGAAUGAGAGAUGAGGACCCAUGUGGGGCUCUGCUGGACCCCAGUGUCCUAAUCAGCAAAAUAUGAAAGACACGGCCCAUCACCACUGAGAGCAGAAGAGACAGAACAACAAGUGCAGUGAUCCCAAAGUAGGGUUCACAGACCCCUGGGAGUCUCCCAGACCUUUUCAGGGGUAGAUGAGGUCAAAAUUAUUUUACUAAUAAUACUAA